UACAGAGGUCCCAAGCGUUGUUCGGAUUCAUUGGGCGUAAAGGGUGCGCAGGCGGCGCGGUAAGUCGGGUGUGAAAUCUCGGGGCUUAACUCCGAAACUGCAUUCGAUACUGCCGUGCUUGAGGACUGGAGAGGAGACUGGAAUUUACGGUGUAGCGGUGAAAUGCGUAGAUAUCGUAAGGAAGACCAGUGGCGAAGGCGGGUCUCUGGACAGUUCCUGACGCUGAGGCACGAAGGCCAGGGGAGCAAACGGG
rnacentral:rRNA from 1 species